rnacentral:tRNA from 1 species
GAAGGAAUAGCUCAGUGGUAGAGUGCAUGCCUAGCAUGCCCAAGGUCCUGGGUUCAAUCCCCAGUACUUCUA